CUCUGAGACAGACAAUAUUCUGUUACAUUGUAGCAAAAUGGCGACUGUCAUUCACAACCCCCUGAAAGCGCUCGGGGACCAGUUCUACAAGGAAGCCAUUGAGCACUGCCGCAGUUAUAACUCGCGCCUGUGCGCAGAGCGCAGCGUGCGGCUCCCUUUCCUGGACUCACAGACUGGGGUGGCUCAGAACAACUGCUACAUCUGGAUGGAGAAGAGGCACCGAGGCCCAGGCCUCGCCCCUGGCCAGCUGUACACAUACCCUGCCCGCUGCUGGCGUAAGAAGAGACGAUUGCACCCGCCUGAGGAUCCGAAGCUGCGGCUGCUGGAAAUAAAACCUGGGCCUGCGCUCAGGCAGGCGGAGCUGCGCCCCACCGUGUCCGAUGGUCUGAGAGCCUCAGAAGUGGAGCUACCCCUGAAGAAGGAUGGGUUCACUUCAGAGAGCACCACCCUGGAAGCCUUGCUCCGCGGCGAGGGCGUUGAGAAGAAGGUGGACACCAGGGAGGAAGAAAGCAUCCAGGAAAUACAGAGGGUUUUGGAAAAUGAUGAAAAUGUAGAAGAAGGAAAUGAAGAAGAGGAUUUAGAAGAGGAUAUUCCCAAGCGGAAGAAUCGGACCAGAGGACGAGCCCGUGGCUCUGCAGGUGGCAGAAGGAGGCACGACGCCGCCUCUCAAGAAGACCACGACAAACCUUACGUCUGUGACAUCUGUGGCAAGCGCUACAAGAACCGGCCGGGACUCAGCUACCACUACGCUCACACUCACCUGGCCAGCGAGGAGGGGGAUGAAGCCCAAGAUCAGGAGACCCGGUCCCCAACUAACCACAGAAACGAGAACCACAGACCCCAGAAAGGACCGGAUGGGACAGUCAUUCCCAAUAACUACUGUGACUUCUGCUUGGGGGGCUCUAACAUGAACAAGAAGAGUGGGAGGCCGGAAGAGCUGGUGUCCUGUGCAGACUGUGGACGCUCUGCUCAUUUGGGAGGAGAAGGCAGGAAGGAGAAGGAGGCAGCGGCCGCAGCACGCACCACGGAGGACUUAUUCGGUUCCACGUCAGAAAGUGACACCUCAACUUUCCACGGCUUUGAUGAGGACGAUUUGGAAGAGCCUCGCUCCUGCCGAGGACGCCGCAGUGGCCGGGGUUCGCCCACAGCAGAUAAAAAGGGCAGUUGCUAAACGCACGGAACAGACUCUCUGGGCAAUUAGCCAUCACCCUCUGACUUUGGUCAUUGUUCUGGUUCUGAUAUAUAUAUUUUUUAAAUGAAAGACAAUUUAGGUUUUUCCCUUCAUCCUGGCUUUCUCCCUCUCACCUUCCACGUGCCCCUGCCCCCUUUCCCUCUGUGUAGGGUACGUCCAACAGAAGCACAAACUACUGAAACAAAAGAGAACAAAAGAGCAGAAUAACAGUCCUUCAGAGAGAUGGCAGCGUCAUGUACUAUUUAUUUUCCAUAGACAUGGGAAGUUAGGCGGAUUAUGUCUUUUUUUUUGGGGGGGGGAUCUUUUUGACAUGAGCAGAGUUGAUUUCCUGUUUUCCUAUUUAUUGGCAACAAUGAAGAGAGGAGGUGCGCUGGGUUUGGAAACAACAAAUAACAUUAAACAAUUAUUAUUUAUAUAUUCUAACUAUUAUUAGAAGCAGAACUUUUUUUUUUUUUUUUUUGAGAGAGAGAGAGAGAGAGAAGGGAAAUCAAAGGAAUGGAAGUCAUAUCCUGGUUAGAAGAAAGCCCCUGGGGAGGGGGACUGAUUCAAGGAGCCCCAGGCAGGAGGCUUUCCUCGUUAGGAAAGAAUUGCACUUGCCGUGCCCCACGGAGUUUGUGGCUCCCCGCGCCAGACCCCCCUCCCUGUGUCUCCCCCCCGCCACCUUUCCAUCUUCCUCCUUGCUUGCGAGGGAAUGUCAGCAGUUCCUGAGAAGCCUGGGCCGCCCGCGUGGCCUCCCUGCAGCACCUGGGCCCUGACCGGCAGCGCCUCCCGGGUAUCCUCUUCCUCCGUUGGCCUCGCUGCCGCUGCCGUUUUGUUGUUGCUGGUCUUUUCCUCACUUUCCUCUUGGCGAAGAGCAAUUUCCAAAUGCAGGAAUGGAAUAGAAGCAGCAAGUCAUGGACUCAGCUGGGACAAAGCCACCCAAGGCCAUGCUCGCGGAAGAAAGGAUGAUACCUCAACAGUGUGUCUCCCUCUCCCCUCGUCCCUGUUUAAAAACGUAUCCAAACCCGUUGGACGAUCAAGUCUCCCGUAUUUCUUCUUCUACUUUUUUUUAUAGUGCCCCCCAGGCACUUUGUUUUGUGUUUCCAAUAGCACCUCCUGAAAUAAACCAAAGCAUCACUUGCUCAAGGCCCCCGGGGUGAUGAAGACCGUCCACCGUGUUGGCAGUCCCAAGGAUGAACAGCCGUGCGGUCCUAGUUAAAAGUCAACGCUAUGACCUGGGAACUCCGGCAUCCUUCAAGCAAGCCAUUUGGGAAGAAGGUGAAAAGAAGCCACGACGCCUUGCUCCUCCUCCUCCUCUUCCCUAGCCUGGCCCCCUCCUGCGCCAACACAGGAGCCUGGAUUGUGGAAAAACCUCCAGCGCAACUCAGCUCAGCUCAGAGAAGUCUCGGGAAUGGCCUCACUUUGUGCAAUAAGAAGAUUUUUUUUUUUCUUUUUAAAAUUCUUCAUUUUCUUUAAGUAUCUGUGAGAAAACAUCCAGGUCAGACUGGAAAUGCUCUACAAUAGAAAUAACUGAACACAAACAAACUGACAAAAAAAAAAAAAAAAAGAGUUAACUAUUUUAUUUAUUUCAAUAUUUAAAAGAAAAGGUGCUGAAGUGGCACAGUAUUUUUGUUUAAAGUACCUUCUACUUCAAAAGUUAAAAGCAAUUUUGUGAAGACAUGCAAAUCAAAAGAGGACUUAAUGUAAAAUAAAGACUGCAUAUUAACUCUAAGGAAAAAUACCCCACAUUUUUAAUACGAGAAUAAAGAUCAACUCUGCUCUCUCAGGCUUUUUUAAAAAGCCAUUCCUGUAUGUGCUUUAGGUAUUUUUUUAUUUCUGCAAGUUGGAUGUGGUAAGUGAGGAGUGAUCAGGCUUUUUUUCCCCUUCUUCAAAAGUAUUUUGAAAGUGUUUGAUUAUGUGUUAAGACUUGUCUAAAAUAAAUUAGCCACAAAGGCUAUCUCCAGUCUCUCCACCCCCAAACAAACAAACAAACCUCUCCCCUCGGCCCAGGCAAGCCCCUCUUAUCUGAUGUUGAGAAGUAGCCUGGUUAUCUUGUCUGACAAGGCCUGGUUCUGAAAGAAAUUCCCUCUAGCGAUUAAAUAUAUGUUUGCAAGUUGAACAGAUUCGAACACGGACAGCUUUGUUUAAACUAAUACAGUGAAGGAAGGGAGAAGAAGAAAAAAAAAAAAAAAAGCAUCAGCUGGGAUGAUAUUAAUUCUGCUCCCUAACAGCUGCUAGAGGAGACUUGCAAAGGAAGCCUUCUGCUGAGCUGGCUUUGGGGGCCUGAGAUGGGUGAGGAAGGCCACCCUGAAAGAUAGGAACCUCAAAUUCAGUUGCUGGUGGGGGUGAAAAGGAGAAAGGCAAGUGGUCUGGCCUGUCCUUUUACAGCCCUAUUGGUGGAAGCACUCGUUGUGGCCUGUAAAGUGCAUUCAACUUUGUGUCUGCAGCCUGGUCAAGAAACCGGGGUGACUGGCUGGACCACUGGGCUACUCCCAGUCUUAUGUGUUCAUGCCCUUGAGUUUCCCUCACUGGUCAGCAGAGUCACUAUAAUCCUGGUACAAUCUAAUGCUGGCUGUUGCUCUCAGCAAAAUCUUGAUUGGCCGUGUUCGUGGUUCUGAGCCUGCCGGUCUCUCUUUUGUCUUUGCAAGGGGAGGUUGGAUGGGCACAAGACUUCCUGCCAGCCCUUUUAAGACCAGUCCCCAGGGGAGAUCACCAAGAGUGUCUUUGUAUCAUUUUGUCGCCCUCUCUGUGACAUUUUCUGAUAGAAAAUGUCCUUUUUCAAAAUGCUAAUAAUUAUAAUAAUAAUCCACUCUCCAACCAACUCCCACAAGUUAUAACAUGUGUAGAACUGUGAUAAAGCUUUGCAUAAUGUAGGGUUUGUAUCAAGUUUGUGUAAGUUUCUGUUAAAUAAAAGUCUGUUUCCAAUGCUCCUAUAGCAUCUC